rnacentral:rRNA from 1 species
AUUGAACGCUGGCGGCAGGCCUAACACAUGCAAGUCGAACGGUAACAGGAAACAGCUUGCUGUUUCGCUGACGAGUGGCGGACGGGUGAGUAAUGUCUGGGAAACUGCCUGAUGGAGGGGGAUAACUACUGGAAACGGUAGCUAAUACCGCAUAACGUCGCAAGACCAAAGAGGGGGACCUUCGGGCCUCUUGCCAUCGGAUGUGCCCAGAUGGGAUUAGCUAGUAGGUGGGGUAACGGCUCUCCUAGGCGACGAUCCCUAGCUGGUCUGAGGGGAUGACCAGCCACACUGGAACUGAGACACGGUCCAGACUCCUACGGGAGGCAGCAGUGGGGAAUAUUGCACAAUGGGCGCAAGCCUGAUGCAGCCAUGCCGCGUGUAUGAAGAAGGCCUUCGGGUUGUAAAGUACUUUCAGCGGGGAGGAAGGGAGUAAAGUCAAUACCUUUGCUCAUUGACGUUACCCGCAGAAGAAGCACCGGCUAACUCCGUGCCAGCCGCCGCAGUAA